rnacentral:rRNA from 1 species
CCCUUAGAUGUUCUGGGCCGCACGCGCGCUACACUGAAGGGAUCAGCGUGUUUUCCCUUUCCGAGAGGAACGGGUAACCCGUUGAACCCCCUUCGUGGUAGGGAUCGGAGCUUGCAAUUGUUCUCCGUGAACCAGGAAUUCCCAGUAAGCGCAAGUCAUAAGCUUGCGUUGAUUACGUCCCUGCCCUUUGUACACACCGCCCGUCGCUACUACCGAUUGAACGUUUUAGUGAGGUAUUUGGACUGGGCCUUGGGAGGUUUCGGCCUCCCUUGUUGCUCGGAAAGACUCCCAAACUUGAGCGUUUAGAGGAAGUAAAAGUCGUAACA